AACGAACGCUGGCGGCAUGCCUAACACAUGCAAGUCGAACGAGACCUUCGGGUCUAGUGGCGCACGGGUGCGUAACGCGUGGGAACCUGCCCUUAGGUUCGGAAUAACUCCCCGAAAGGGGUGCUAAUACCGGAUAAUGUCUUCGGACCAAAGAUUCAUCGCCCUUGGGUGGGCCCGCGUUGGUUUCGCUAGUUGGUAGGGUAAAAGCCUACCAAGGCGACGAUCCUUAGCUGGUCUGAGAGAAUGAUCAGCCACACUGGGACUGGGACACGGCCCAGACUCCUACGGGAGGCAGCAGUGGGGAAUAUUGGACAAUGGGGGAAGGCCUGAUCCAGCAAUGCCGCGUGAGUGAUGAAGGCCUUAGGGUUGUAAAGCUCUUUUACCCGGGAUGAUAAUGACAGUACCGGGAGAAUAAGCUCCGGCUAACUCCGUG
rnacentral:rRNA from 1 species